UAAAUGGGGGAAUGAACGCGACUCCAUAUCCUCUGCUUUCGUUUGCGCUCUACGAUUUCUUCCAAAUCAUACUCUUCCAAUUCAUUCUCACAACCAGGAGAUUCGAGUCUGCACCAAUCGUAUUUGCUGCCGUCAAGGUUCCUUUCAGACACUCCGAACUCUCAGCGGCGUCGCACCUUCCUCCAUUACUGUCAAUUCUUGUGGUUGUUUACGAAACUGCGGCGCUGGCCCUAACGUUGGCCAUAAAGCAGUUGUCUGGUGGAGGCUGUGAUUCCAUCGGUGUGUGUAAGAGUUUGAAGGCUCUUGCUCUGUGGUAGAGAGAUGAAAGUGAAUUGGAGGCUGGGAAUUUCUCUCAGGCCGAGCCAAUUUUCCUGUAGUUAAAAUUGUUCCGCCUUUUACCGAGUGGCAAUGUUGAUAACCACGUCUCCAGUCUGCUUUUCUUUCUGCGAUUCGGUCUAUCAUGAGAUUCGCACAGGGGAACCAUUCUGGUGACCUUAAAGGUGCAAAUGAAGCUCUAGGCUUACAUUCGUAAAGGUGACAGCAUUCUUAACUAUGGAGCAUUUUGAUUCAGCUGCGAUGUCAUAUUCAACAGCUUUAAAAUUUGAUCCUUCAAUUCGCCUUCAAAACCAUUCAAGGUGCGAGUUGCUAAAUUUCAGGAGAGACUCAGUGCCGUGCAUACGCAACAAAUUCUGAGAACAAAAAUAAUGACACAGUUCGAGAUUCAGUCGUGCCUUCAGGGAUUCCCUGUUUCAUUAUCUUACUGUCUCCCUCAAAUUAGACCACAGCACAGCAAAAAGCAGAUAAAAGUUGGUAUCAGAAGCCCAUGAAUCUGUCCCUGUAGAUCUUCUAUUUUCUGGUUGAGUAGACUCCGCUACCAGCCCUUUGUUUUCUUCCAUCAAGGAAGACACCCUAUAUCCCAAUCUUGCAUUUUCAUUCAGUAAUAUGAGCCUUUCAGACUCC